AUGAUUAUUGGAGGUAGAGCACUGUUUGGACGAGGGGCCCCUCUCGGGUUACCGAAUUCAGACAAACUCCGAAUGCCAAUUAAUUUAACUUGGGAGUCAGAACAUGGGUGAUAAGGUCCGUGUUCGAAAGGGAAACAGCCCAGACCACCAGCUAAGGUCCCAAAAUAUAUGUUAAGUGGAAAAGGAUGUGGCGUUGCCCAGACAACUAGGAUGUUGGCUUAGAAGCAGCCAUCAUUUAAAGAGUGCGUAAUAGCUCACUAGUCGAGUGACACUGCGCCGAAAAUGUACCGGGGCUAAACAUAUUACCGAAGCUGUGGAUUGUCCUUUGGACAAUGGUAGGAGAGCGUUCUAAGGGCGUUGAAGCAUGAUCGUAAGGACAUGUGGAGCGCUUAGAAGUGAGAAUGCCGGUGUGAGUAGCGAAAGACGGGUGAGAAUCCCGUCCACCGAUUGACUAAGGUUUCCAGAGGAAGGCUCGUCCGCUCUGGGUUAGUCGGGUCCUAAGCUGAGGCCGACAGGCGUAGGCGAUGGAUAACAGGUUGAUAUUCCUGUACCACCUAUAAUCGUUUUAAUCGAUGGGGGGACGCAGUAGGAUAGGCGAAGCGUGCGAUUGGAUUGCACGUCUAAGCAGUAAGGCUGAGUAUUAGGCAAAUCCGGUACUCGUUAAGGCUGAGCUGUGAUGGGGAGAAGACAUUG
rnacentral:rRNA from 1 species